UUGUGAGGAUUAAUAUGCAUUCAUUUUCGUGGCUAAGGUAGGGGUUGUGAAUCUAAGCAUUUUUAACAAUAGAAUUUUUGGGCACUCUAAGGACUAAACGUAUUGCUUUACUGAGCUUGGAUGAAAAUGCCGAUCAGAAGCUGUCCAUUGGUUCUCUGACUUUAGAGGACCAACGGAUAAUAUAAUACUUCAAUCUUGGAAUUGGAUUCAAGCGAGCACUCUGACAGGCAGGGCUUCUAGGUUGGCUAUUACCAAUAAUUAUUCCUUGAAAUGACAUCGUUUUUAGUCAGUAUAUAAUUCUUACAAAAUUUAUGUGAGAUAGAUGGGACUGUAGAAGCACUUACAGAGAGAAGUUAACUCUCUUGGAACACGUAACAAUUAAUGACAGUUAAGAUUAGAAUCUAGCUUAAUUGAACUCUGUUUAAUGAUCUCCCUUCUAUCUCUCUCCUUCCCUUUCUUUCUCCCUUCCUUCCUUUCAUUUAGUAAUAUUUAUUGAGUGCCUUAUGUGCUCAGCACUAUUAUAGGUGCCUUCCUCUAGAUUACCAGCAGAAUAUAAAAGUAUUCAACCCUACCGUUCAACUUUAUUUAAUAGCAGAUAUUUGGAUGAAAGAAAAGGAAGAGGUUUUCUAAUACAAAACCUAAUAUUGACUGCUCUGUUCACUUGUGAAAAAUUUUAUCAGCUCUAGAUUGUAACAUUUCAUUGUGCCAGUUAAUAGUGUUAAAAAUGAUCAAGUUUCUGUGUUAGCUGCUUCUCUAAGGAGAUAUAGAAUAUACCUUAGAUGGUAAAGGAAAAAUGUAGACGUCAUCCAUAUUCAUAUUAGAAGAUAUAUAUGUGCAUGUUGCUAGUAAAAAGUGGAAAGGGUAAUAGUUAGUUAAAUUGGUUCUUAGCUUGGGUUUCCUAAAAAAUGGAACCUGAGACAAGGAUUAAGAGCCUAUGCUUCAUUUGAGAGGUGCAAUCCCUAGGCAGUAAGAGAGAGAAGAAGGGAAAGUGAUUCAGAGAAGCAUGAGAGGCAGUGCAAGAC